rnacentral:misc_RNA from 1 species
UCAAGCCCCCGGCUUGGUGUUGGAGGCCUUGGUCAGGCGACUGACCCCUCCCAAAGACAAUGACGGCGGCCCGCUUCGACCCCCGGCACAUUGAGCUUCUUAACUGAGCACGUGUCGGAUCAGGCUCGACGGGACCCGGUCUCACACCUAAUUUUUACAAGGUUGACCUCGGAUCAGGUAGGGAUACCCGCUGAACUUAA